GAUGAAGAACGCAGCGAAAUGCGAUAAGUAAUGUGAAUUGCAGAAUUCCGUGAAUCAUCGAAUCUUUGAACGCACAUUGCGCCCCCUGGCAUUCCGGGGGGCAUGCCUGUCCGAGCGUCAUUUCUGCCCUCAAGCACGGCUUGUGUGUUGGGUGUGGUCCCCCCGGGGACCUGCCCGAAAGGCAGCGGCGACGUCCGUCUGGUCCUCGAGCGUAUGGGGCUCUGUCACUCGCUCGGGAAGGACCUGCGGGGGUUGGUCACCACUAUAUUUUACCACGGUUGACCUCGGAUCAGGUAGGAGUUACCCGCUGAGCUUAAGCAUAUCAAUAAGCGGAGGA
rnacentral:misc_RNA from 1 species